rnacentral:rRNA from 1 species
GAUGAACGCUGGCGGCGUGCCUAAUACAUGCAAGUCGAGCGAAUGGAUUAAGAGCUUGCUCUUAUGAAGUUAGCGGCGGACGGGUGAGUAACACGUGGUAACCUGCCCAUAAGACUGGGAUAACUCCGGGAAACCGGGGCUAAUACCGGAUAACAUUUUGAACCGCAUGGUUCGAAAUUGAAAGGCGGCUUCGGCUGUCACUUAUGGAUGGACCCGCGACGCAUUAGCUAGUUGGUGAGGUAACGGCUAACCAAGGCAACGAUGCGGAGCCGACCUGAGAGGGUGAUCGGACACACUGGGACUGAGACACGGCCCAGACUCCUACGGGAGGCAGCAGUAGGGAAUCUUCCGCAAUGGACGAAAGUCUGACGGAGCAACGCCGCGUGAGUGAUGAAGGCUUUCGGGUCGUAAAACUCUGUUGUUAGGGAAGAACAAGUGCUAGUUGAAUAAGCUGGCACCUUGACGGUACCUAACCAGAAAGCCACGGCUAACUACGUGCCAGCCGCCGCCGUAA